rnacentral:rRNA from 1 species
AUUGAACGCUGGCGGCAGGCCUAACACAUGCAAGUCGAACGGUAACAGGAAGAAGCUUGCUUCUUUGCUGACGAGUGGCGGACGGGUGAGUAAUGUCUGGGAAACUGCCUGAUGGAGGGGGAUAACUACUGGAAACGGUAGCUAAUACCGCAUAACGUCGCAAGACCAAAGAGGGGGACCUUCGGGCCUCUUGCCAUCGGAUGUGCCCAGAUGGGAUUAGCUAGUAGGUGGGGUAACGGCUCACCUAGGCGACGAUCCCUAGCUGGUCUGAGAGGAUGACCAGCCACACUGGAACUGAGACACGGUCCAGACUC